rnacentral:rRNA from 1 species
AACGAACGCUGGCGGCGUGCUUAACACAUGCAAGUCGAACGGAAAGGCCCUGCUUUUGUGGGGUGCUCGAGUGGCGAACGGGUGAGUAACACGUGAGUACCCUGCCCUUGCCUGUGGGAUAACUUAAGGACACUGAGGCUAAUACCGGAAAGGAGCUCCUGCUGCAGGGUGGGGGUUGGUAAGUUUCGGCGGUUGGGGAUGGACUCGCGGCUUAUCGGCUUGUUCGUGGGGUAGUGGCUUACCAAGGCUUUGACGCGUAGCCGGGCUGGGAGGGUGACCGGACACGUCGGGCUGGAGAUACGGCCCAGACUCCACUCGUAGGCAGCAGUGGGGUAGAGUGCAUUAUGGGCGGAAGCAUGGUGUAGUAACGCCGCGCGGGGUAAGUCGUCCUGCGGUUUGUAUUCCGCAUCCGUCUUUGACGAAGCGUUAGUGACGGUACUGGGUAAAGAAGCACCGGCUAACUACGUG